AUGUAUGAUUCUAUGAUUCUGUGGUCAGGCUCUCUGAUCGUAAGUUCAUCACUGAAAAACUGCAUCACUGCAUCAUUGAAACUUGCGGCCUAUCUGCAACUGAUCUAUUCCCCUUUUGGGAUCCCCAUGGGCAAAUGGAAGAGGGAGGAAUGGCCAGCUUACCACUAGAGUUUUUGUCAGCUGCCAACUAGCAAUGCCAGUAAGUGAUCUAUUUUUGCCAUUUAUUCAGAAAGACCUGAUGGUCUCCAUGAGUCUGGCACUAUCUUGCAUGUCAGGAGUCAGUGUACACAGAAGCAUUGACCAGUCUGCUCCCCAGGGAUUUACUGUGCGAGUAAUAGUGGGUUAAUUUCUCUGGAAAUUUCUGAAAGAGAUGAUUGUGUAUCAAUAAGUUGUUCCAGAUGACAAAAAUGAAGUGUUGGAAAAGCCUCGAGGGGCUCGUACAGCCAUGUCAAGGAGAUGCUUUUCCUCUGCUCUUAAAGGUGACUUGCAAUAUUAAAAAAGCCUUUGGCCUUUACUGCUAGUUUUAUGAAGACAAAGACCUGAAAGCUAUCCAUACCAGGUUGUGAUUUUCAUUAAUUUAGGAACAUCUACUGCUUUGUUUCUCUGUUUUACUGUGAAGUACAGGGGCAUGUAGCACAUGUAACACGUGCUUUCUUAGCCUUUAAUUGAAACUGAAAGUGGUGGGCUAGAGGUUGGGUAGUUUUUAUGCCCUUGAGCUCCCUCUGUAGCUAUUGCUAAGACGUUUGAGUUACAUAUGUGUAAACCAAAUUUAAGGAUUAGAUUAAUAGCUUUUGCUGUGAUUUAAUUAAGUUGAUGCAACCCCAGUUUGGUUUUGUUAGAUCAGCACAAAAAAACCAGGCGUAGACAAGCCCAGAGUAUUUUAGGGAACUCAGUGAAAACUUUCUUUCACAUUUUACUACUCUUUUAUUUCUUUGGUUCUUCUGGAACUAUAUCCUCACACAGAAGAUACCUGGAAACAAACCAGUGUGGAAAUCAGUACUGAAACCUUGUUACAAAUUGAGAGAUCCUGCUAAUGUGGCCUUUAUUUUUCCCUAACAUCACACAAGUGAAAAGGACAGAAAAUGAAAGCUGUAAUUCUGUGACUUAGUUUUAUCCUUAACAGGAAAGGAGUGAAACUGCUUCAGCGUGGGUAGCAAAAAAUGCCUGU
rnacentral:lncRNA from 1 species